AGCCUAUACUAGGAGUGAGUUGACCAACGGUCAUGUGGCUGGGUUCUAGAACUCUGGAGACAGUUCUAGAAGAAGCCAAGACUCCUUGAUGCUUACCAUGGCCAAAGGUGACCAGAGGCUGAGGCACCUGGGGCAAUAGCCACAAGUGGUCCAGAGGACAGGGCCAGGACACAAGAGCAGAAGGAAAUGCCAUGCAGCAUUGGUAAACUGUGUCCCCAAUGGUGACAUUAAGGCAUGAAUUUCUCGAACCCACCAUCUUUCUCAUCCUGCCCCCAGGCCUCAGCAUUCAGCCGUGACCACCGUCCUGAGUCAGGAAUGUCAUUGUCUAGAAGAGUCUGAUUGCAAGAGGAAGAGAGAGGAAUAAAUCAUUAUUGAGGUCAAGGAGAAGAGCUUGGCUCAGCAACAAAAAAAUCAUGCCUUAUGUUCUUGGAUUACUGCUGCCAGAAGAGUCUUCGCCACACUCUACAAUGGACAAAUCGGUACUGUCUGCCAGCUUGGAGUCCUCAGACGGGCCUGCGUAGAAGAGGAGGACACUAGCAGCGGAAGCAGUUACAUUCCCACCUAGGACAGCACCCACAGCAUGAGCAGGAUCCAGCAAG
rnacentral:lncRNA from 1 species